GCGGAAGUGGCUCAGUGGUAGAGCAUCACCUUGCCAAGGUGAGGGUCGGGGGUUCGAAUCCCCUCUUCCGCUCCA
rnacentral:tRNA from 1 species